rnacentral:rRNA from 1 species
CCUACGGGAGGCAGCAGUGAGGAAUAUUGGUCAAUGGGCGAGAGCCUGAACCAGCCAAGUAGCGUGCAGGAUGACGGCCCUAUGGGUUGUAAACUGCUUUUAUCAGGGAAUAAAGUGCGGCACGUGUGCCGUUUUGUAUGUACCUGACGAAUAAGGACCGGCUAAUUCCGUGCCAGCAGCCGCGGUAAU